UUGAAUGGCCGCGGUAUUUUGACCGUGCGAAGGUAGCAUAAUCAUUAGUCUAUUAAUUAUAGACUGGUAUGAAAGGCUAAAUGGUAAAAAGCUGUCUUUUUUAAUAACAUGAAUUUUAGAUUUUUGUGAAGACGCAAAGAUUGAAAUAAGGGACGAGAAGACCCUAUUAAGCUUGACAUGUAAAUUUUAGAUAAGAAAAUUAAAAGGAAAUGUUAUGUUGGGGCGACAAUAGAUGAUAACAUUUAUUAAAAUAAAAUAAUUUAAUUAUAUUGUUUAUGAUCCAAAAGAUUUGAGUAUAAGAAUAAGUUACUAUAGGGAUAACAGCG
rnacentral:rRNA from 1 species